rnacentral:rRNA from 1 species
AUGGGGGGUGCCUCUGAUUCCUUCUUCUACCUCUUGCUGUCCCUCUGGGUUCAGGGUGCGGCUGUGACUGGCCUUGGCUUCACAAGAAGAGAUUUCCCACAGGAGUUCGUCUUUGGAGCUGGAACCUCGGCAUACCAAUAUGAGGGUGCUGUUGCUGAGGAUGGCAGGAGCCCAAGCAGUUGGGACACUUUCACUCACGCAGGCAAAAUGCCAGACAAAAGCAUGGGAGAUGUUGCUGCAGAUGGGUACCACAAAUACAUGGAGGAUGUCAAGCACAUGUAUGAGACAGGCCUAGAGGCCUAUAGGUUCUCCAUCUCCUGGUCAAGGCUCAUUCCAAAUGGACGCGGAGCUGUCAAUCCCAAAGGGCUACAAUACUACAAUAACCUCAUUGACGAGCUAGUGAAUCAUGGAAUUCAAGUCCACAUCACACUCCACCACCUAGAUCUCCCCCAGAUUCUUGAAGACGAGUAUGGUGGAUGGUUAAGCCCCAGAAUCAUCGAAGAUUUCACAGCAUAUGCAGAUGUUUGCUUCAGGGAGUUUGGAGAUAGGGUUGUAUCUUGGACGACGGUGAAUGAGCCAAACAUUGGCAUAUUGGCCUCUUAUGAUGUUGCUACAUUCCCUCCUAGCCGUUGCUCGGAUCCAUUUGGAGCAACAAAGUGCACCGCUGGGGACUCUACCGUGGAACCAUACAUAGCAGCUCAUAAUACCCUUAUGGCUCAUGCAUCUGUUGUCAGUCUGUAUAGAAAAAAAUAUCAAGUGACUGCAACUCGGAGAUGUAAAGAUUUCUUCUUCGGCUGGAUACUAGAUCCAUUGGUGUUUGGGGACUACCCAGAAGUAAUGAAGAAGAUUGUUGGCUCUCGCCUUCCAUCCUUCACGGAAGUUCAGUCUGAACUUAUCAAGGGUUCUUUAGAUUUUAUUGGAAUAAAUCACUACUACUCUCUCUACAUGAAUGAUCGCCCUCUAGCAACAGGCGUUCGAGACUACGGCGCAGACAUAUCAGUUAGUUUAAGGGUUUCAGAGGUAGAAAAUGAGUUUUUAACCUCUCCGUUCUCUGAAGAGGAAAGGGCUGGAACUUCAACUGGAGUACCUGAAGAAACCUACGGGAGCCUUCCGGUCUAUGUCCAAGAGAACGGCGAGACUUAUGAACCAAACAGGUCCGGUGACAGCCUAGAUGACGCCGACAGGGUCGGUUUCCUGGGCAGCUACAUGGAAAGCACACUUAACGCGAUGAGGAAGGGAGCCAACGUGCGAGGCUACUUCGCGUGGGCAUUCGUGGACCUGUUCGAGCUCCUUGCCGGGUACCAGUCGAGGUACGGGCUGUACCGCGUGGACUUCGCUGACGAGAGGCGGCCGCGGCAGGCCAGGCUCUCGGCUCGCUGGUACUCCAGCUUCCUCAAGCGCAACGGAACCACUGCACUUGUUUCUAGGACGGCGGGGAACCAGGAGCUGAGCCUGAGCGCCGUGUCCUGA